UUCAUCGAAAUCUUUAGAAGCGCAAUUUGGCGCCCCAUUAGUAUUCUAGUGGGCAUUGCCUGUUCGAGGCGUCUAUUUCAAACCCUUAAGCCUCUGUGGCUUUAGUGUUUGGGAGCCUACAGUCCGCUGUAGCUCCCUAAAGUUAGUGGCGGAGUCGGUUCACACUCUAGACGUAGUAAAUUUUUAUCUCGCCUAUAGAUGGACCGGCGUCCUGCCGUAAAACCCCCUAAUUUCUCAAGGUUGACCUCGGAUCAGGUAGGAAUACCCGCUGAACUUAAGCAUAUCAAUAAGCGGAGGAAAAGAAACCAACAGGGAUUGCCCUAGUAACGGCGAGUGAAGCGGCAACAGCUCAAAUUUGAAUCUGGCCUUCGGGUCCGAGUUGUAAUUUGUAGAGGAUGCU
rnacentral:rRNA from 1 species